GUGCCUAUUUUCUCUUGGCCCUCCCCCAUGGGCGGGAGGAGGCCUGGGACUCCUGGCUUGGAUUCGCUAGGGCCGCCACCCGCCGAGCUCCAGCGCGUAACCCGGAACCGUCGCGGCGUCGCUUUUAGGUGUUCCUGAAGGGGAGGAGAGGACUCUCCAGUCUCGGUUAACAGCGAGCAGUCACAAAGGCAACGGUUAUAAACGAAACAGCAAGGGUGCGGAAUCAGACCAGAGUUCUCUUCCCAGUAAUUUGCUAGCAUAAUUUGGACAGAGCACAGGCUCCGGACGCGCAGGCUCAGCGGCCAUGGCUCACGGGCCCAGCCGCUCCGCGGCAUGUGGCAUCUUCCCGGACCGGCAUCGGCAGGCGGACUCUCAACCACUGCGCCACCAGGGAAGCCCGCUUUUUAUUCUUAUUACUUCUCCAAGUGUGUAUUUCUUUUCCUCCCAAGAAGAUCAAGCUCUUUGAGAGCAGGUAUAUGUCUCAUAUUUGCUGUUAUUUGCCACAACUGUCAAAGCUCUGUGUGUAAUGGAAUUCAGUGUGGUUGGAUUAAAUUAGAACAUUUAAUUACUUCCUUUCACUCAGGAGGAAAACUCCUGUCCUGAAAUUCCUAAUAAUCGGUGAGAUGCCCCAGCUGGGAGGGGCAGAUGCUAUAUGAGUUGAGAUGGAAUGAAAUAUGGUGAUGUUGUAAAUCAGAGUUUCUCAACUUCAACACUGUUGAUAUUCUGGGCUAGAUAAUUUUUGUUUGGGAGGACUGUUCUGCACAUUGUAGGAUGUGUAGCAGCAUCCCUGGCCUCUACACUUUAGAUGUAGUAGCAUCCCAAUAAUGACAAUCACAAAUGUGUCCAGAUAUCACCAAAUGCCAACUGUGGGGGCAAAACCAUCCCCAACUGAGAACCACCUCUUAUAAAUGAAAGUCUUAGACAGGACAUGCCAGAUGGUGAAUGAGGUUUUCUUUACACCAUGUUUCUUUGUAUCUGCUGUACUUCUUACAGACGUUUACAUUUUUAGAAAUAAAAGAAU